rnacentral:rRNA from 1 species
UGGGGAAUAUUGGACAAUGGGCGCAAGCCUGAUCCAGCCAUGCCGCGUGAGUGAUGAAGGCUCUAGGGUUGUAAAGCUCUUUCACCGGUGAAGAUAAUGACGGUAACCGGAGAAGAAGCCCCGGCUAACUUCGUGCCAGCAGCCGCGGUAAUACGAAGGGGGCUAGCGUUGUUCGGAUGUACUGGGCGUAAAGCGCACGUAGGCGGACUUUUAAGUCAGGGGUGAAAUCCCGGGGCUCAACCCCGGAACUGCCUUUGAUACUGGAAGUCUUGAGUAUGGUAGAGGUGAGUGGAAUUCCGAGUGUAGAGGUGAAAUUCGUAGAUAUUCGGAGGAACACAAGUGACGAAGGCGGCUCACUGGACCAUAACUGACGCUGAGGUGCGAAAGCGUGAGGAGCAAACAGG